CCCGGGCCUUGAAAAAACCCCCGUAAAAACAUGGGGGUGGGUUGAAAAAGAAGUAGGUAGCUUAACCUUCGGGAGGGCGCUUACCACUUUGUGAUUCAUGACUGGGGUGAAGUCGUAACAAGGUAACCGUAGGGGAACCUGCGGUUGGAUCACCUCCUUACCUUAAAGAA
rnacentral:rRNA from 1 species